rnacentral:tRNA from 1 species
GCGCCGUUAGCUCAGCAGGAUCAGAGCGGUCCCCUCCUAAGGGACAGGUCACAGGUUCGACUCCUGUACGGCGCGCCA